rnacentral:rRNA from 1 species
AAUGAACGCUGGCGGCAUGCCUUACACAUGCAAGUCGAACGGUAACAGGUUAAGCUGACGAGUGGCGAACGGGUGAGUAAUAUAUCGGAACGUGCCCAGUAAUGGGGGAUAGCCCGGCGAAAGCCGGAUUAAUACCGCAUACGACCUACGGGUGAAAGCAGGGGAGUCGCAAGACCUUGCGUUAUUGGAGCGGCCGAUAUCAGAUUAGCUUGUUGGUGGGGUAAAAGCCCACCAAGGCGACGAUCUGUAGCUGGUCUGAGAGGACGACCAGCACACUGGGACUGAGACACGGCCCAGACUCCUACGGGAGGCAGCAGUGGGGAAUUUUGGACAAUGGACGAAAGUCUGAUCCAGCCAUGCCGCGUGCGGGAAGAAGGCCU